rnacentral:lncRNA from 1 species
UAAAUGCUUACCAGCGUGGUGCUGUGGCUGUCUCUUUAGAUGGGAGUGUGUGCAUUCUUCAAACCCACAGCUCCCUGUUGUUAACGGACAAUGAGACCGGAUUGCCUCCCUUGUCCCCUGGCUUGGGAUCCUAAGUCUAGGAUCUUUUUGCAUUGCUUCUUUCUGUGCCAGGGUCCUGUGAGGAAAACUUCCCAUCCUGGACCUUUGUUCAGAAGAAUAGGCUCAUCAGAACAAGUACCUGAAGGGGAGAAGGUAACUGAAGCUCUGGUUGACACCUUGACUACAGCCUGUGAGAGACCCCGAGGCAAAGGAUGCCACUCAGCUGCUUCUGGAUGCCUGUCCUGUUGAAACUGACAAGGCUGGUCAUUUAAGUGCGUGAGUUAGACUGAGUGUAAGAAGAUUCGGAGAAGGAUGCAAGCCCUGUUUUAAGACAUUCAGAAGCAAAUUUGUAAAAACUUCUAGUCAAACAAACAACACUCCCAUCUCUCAGUGUUUGCAGGCUGGACUUCACCGUUUACAAGUUUCAUUUUAAUAAGGUAAGGGACUGCACUCAGUCAGGGAUGGGAGACAGGGAUCCUCCGGCAUUUUCUUUCUUCUCUCU